UCCGAGUUGACCCCGGCAGUCUCCUAUGAGUCCCCACCAUUACGUGCUGGCAACAUAGGACGAGGGUUACGCUCGUUGCGGGACUUAACCCAACAUCUCACGACACGAGCUGACGACAGCCAUGCAGCACCUAACCAUGAGUUCUCCGAAGAGCACCCCGACUUUUCAACCAGGUUCUCAUGUUUUCUAGCCUAGGUAAGGUUCUUCGCGUUGCGUCGAAUUAAACCACAUGCUCCGCCGCUUGUG
rnacentral:misc_RNA from 1 species